CUGCAUGAUGGAAACGGUUGUUCUUCUUUCCCCCAAGGAGAAUGAAUAUUCCUUCAAUGCUAUAAAAACUUAAAAGAGUUUUCAGGGCCACCUGCCUUGAAGUAAAGGCUGAGUGGUAGUAUAUUUCUCUUACAUAA